AAAGGACUUUGAAAAGAGAGUUAAAAAGUGCGUGAAACUGCACAUUGAAAAGCGAAUGAGUACGCGUUGGUCUUGGUUGUUGCCAUUCAGGCUUGGCUGAUGGUUGUUUUCAAAUGGCUCAUAAAGCUUUUGAAAUGCUGUCAGGCUUGUCGCAUUUGGCAGCCUAGCAAUCUGCUUGGCUUUAUUUUUGCUGCGUCUACGCCGAAGUACUCCUCCUCCUUGUGAGGCUGGUAGGGUCGGUAGUUGUGUCGAUAAAUGGAUAUGCGAAGGAAACUGCUUCUUUAUUGAAGCAGUGGUCAGCUGAAAUGAAGUUUGGCGAACUCUUUCAGGCGACCUAUUGAUAAUUGUUCAGGCUGGUUAUGGGCGAGUGACGUGUUUACACGUCACAGUAAUUGUAUGGUCAGAUAUUGGAUUGUUGGUAUCGGUCGUUUGAAUGCUGAAAGCAGAUAUUGUUGCGGCAUCAUUCGAACCGUCUUGAAAACACGGGCUAAGGAGUUCAACAAAUGCGCGAGUUUUACUGGUCUUAUGAAACCAGAUGGCAAAGUUAACGCGAGUUUGUGGUUGAUGGCGAUAAACUCGAUUGCAAUUUAGCAACGAGAUCAUCGCUUAUGAUGGUUGGCAUAUUGAGUAAUGGUUGUCGUUCGCAAUAGAGCGCAUAUGCUGAGACCCGAAAGAUGGUGAACUAUGCCUGAGUAGGAUGAAGCCGGAGGAAACUCUGGUGGAGGUCCGAAGCGUUUUUGACGUGCAAAUCAAUCGUCAGACUUGGGUAUAGGGGCGAAAGACUAAUCGAACCAUCUAGUAGCUGGUUCCCUUCGAA
rnacentral:rRNA from 1 species